UGCAGAUAUGAGUUACAUAUGAGGAUUAUUUCAAACAAAAUAAAACUUCAACAUAGUCGUCACAGACAGUGAGUUUGAUCCCAAAAUCAAGAAAAUAUGUCUCUAUGAUAAUGUGUGUUCUCCGAUUCCUUUUUCUGUCAGUCUGUCAGUGUCAGCCAGCUGUUAAUUUGUUCUUCAGGUCUGCAGCUGUCGGUCCGUCUGGUUCUGGUGGGCGUCAUCUUUAUUUCUUCAGCCGCUUUAGGGAUUUUCUUCAAGAUUAGAAGAUCCAAACAAAAUAAAGGACCUUCAGUAGAAACGCAGCAUUUCUCCGUCACACAGGACCACCAGGAGCAGGAGGAGAUCAGGGAGGAGGACAGAAACAGAUGAACAUCGUCUGUGGAAAUAUCCGCUGUAAUCCAGCAUAUACCCAACUGAUCUUCUAAAAUCGACUCACCAUCUGCCUGUGAUCAAGUAGAAAGGAAUUUUCUCAGCUCUCUGGGUUCAGGAAGUAGCGUUUAGUUCAGGAUGUUUGUGUUGAAUUAGUAUUUUACCCACUUAUCGAGUCACUGAAAACAUCACGUGUCCAAAGCCAAGUUCCUGAUUGGCAGUUGCGACGCGCUGACCUGCAGAAAUUCAAAUAUCUGAACUCAGGCCACGAUGUCCAAUUUGAAGUCUUGCUAAUGUUAGACCGUCGUGCCGCUCCAUCACUUAAAUCGCGCCACAGGACUUCAGAUCCCCUCAAGUUGUGUCUGUUGCAUCGACUUAACAGUGAAACUGGCUGCCUUUGUCGUUCAGUGUGAACACAGUAUAAAGUUACACCUCUAUUAAUUGAAGGAGCUCUCAAAUCAAACCCAAGAAAUGGAGAAAGAAAGUAGUGGUGUAAAAUUAUUAUUAUCCCGAUUAUUUAGUGCAAUAAAAAAUGUGGUUACGCUUCAUAAUAAGAUUCCUUAACAAGCUUUGUUUGCACAUUAACAAGCAUCAUUAAUGGGGUGUUAGUAUUUUAUUAGCACAAUAAGUCUAAUAAGGUUUAUUAAUAUACUUAGUAAGGUUCAUUACCAUCUAAAGUGAGACUGUUGUCUACAAAGAGCAUUUUAAUAAACUUCUUUAAAGCUGAACAAAUGCAUCGACUUUCUUUGUUAACAGGUUGAGUGUUUUGCAACACCUAAUCUAAAAUGUUACCCAACUGUUUACUUGCAUGAAUGUUUCAUCUGAACUCAGCUCUUCCAUUGCUCUCAGUGCAUGUCUUGGUGUCUGUGUACCAUUGUGUACGUGUUGCUGCUGUGACGUUGUCAAUGUCCAACUUUGUAGUUCUUUACAAAACGAACACAAACACGAUCACAACGUCAAAGCUAUCAUCUAUCAUGUAAGCCGGACGAGGCGUUUGUCAUUCUAUACUAACGGGGUGUGUGGAGGGAUGAUUGAACGGGACAGAAAACUGUGGAUUUAGGUUUGUCAACAUGUAUUAUGGUAUUAAUAAGAUGUUUGUGGUCAAUAUUUUUUUGGAUUGCGAAGAAAAGGCUUCCUACCAUUUUUAUGAGUUAAAUCUCAGCACUCUGGAUCUGAUGUUUUAUUCUUUUGCUUGCUUUUGUCUUAAUUGCUCACGAUUGUAAAUAAAAACGCCCCUUCUUGGUUAUAGGUUGACUUCAUAAUGCUAGUUUUUCAGUAGUCAUUUGAUCUUCUACUGUACCACGAUGUCAUGAUUGUAGCUGAAAAUACCUUAAAAUUACACAGCAAUUAUCAGAAUAAAAGUCUUUGCAAUUAAAAUUGAUUUAUUCACAAGAAAAAUAAAUAAUCACAUGACAGCAUUAAAAAAAAGAUCCCUCGCUCUAACCCCCAGAAGUUCUUAGGAGUAACCAAAUUCGUAGAAAUAAAAAUGCAGAAUGAAGAAAAGAUCAAGAAAAAAGUUUUAAAAUAAGUUCUGUGUUGAAACUCAGAUGACUUGACUACUGAAAAACAAUGUUAUCUUUUGACUCUUCCGUCACAGUGUUAAGAUGAAUACAGAAGUUAAACCACAAGGUCCACUCCACCGCCAUGUCUGCUGAAAGCUUAACUUCUGCUUUCACAUUCUUUUACUGGAGCUGCAGCUGUUUCCCAUCAGAGGAGUUUUGAGCCAAAUAAGGGAAAGCAUGCUGUAUUUUCUCAGAAAACAAAGGAAACACUUAUGAAAAAAAAGACUGUAAAUAUAAGGAAUGAAAACAGCAACUUAAAAUCAUGUGUCAUUCUCUAUGUUUCCCAUGAUAGAGAAUGACACAUCAGAAAGUCUGCGGCAAAAGCUUAGAGUUAUCAGGGUGUUUUUUGUGGCUGUGGUUGUUUGACUUUCUGAAAAGAGUGUCACAAUUUUCUGUACUUAAAAAAAAAACUUCUGCAUUUUUAGAUUUUUUUUUUUUUUUACACAUUGCAGAAAGUCUCUACUUGAAGACAAUAACACUUGUUUCUAAUGAAGCUGCAAACAUAAAAUGCUUUUUUACAAUUCGUACCUGUGAAGUUUGAGGCUUUUCUUUUUCUGUUUUUUCUGGUUUUAGUUGUGCAGUCAUGAUGAAAGGAGGAGGAAAGUGCUUGAUGAAGGGAAAAAAGUUUGUUGAUUUCGAGGAAGGUGAAUAAAAUCCAGAAACUGGUAUGGGUGGUGGUCAGUGCAGUAAAAAAGGUGUCCAAGUGGUCAAUCAGAUUGGAGGAUGAAGAUGACAGAGGCAGGAACUAGAAAACACCAGUGUACUCUCUUAACGGGAGUGGGAUCAAUAACACAAGACAUUAGCUGACAAGUAUAGGGUGGUGGAAACAGUCUUAAAUAAGCCAGGCUGAGUAGAGAUGAGUUGGAGGCGUGUCAGGAGUCCCUGUUAUCCAGCACACCUGUUGAGACAAAACAGAAAAACAGCAAAAAGGCAAGAAGACAGGACUAGGAGAGGGAGACAGAGGGACACGACUCUGACUCAGCCACGUCGACCGUCUGAGUCAGCAGCUCCCUGCCUUCCCAAAUCUAACUAUUAAAAAGAAACAAACAAAGCCCGCAAAUCAAGACUACCAACGUCAAACCCCAAACUAAAAUAACAAA